UGGUUUCCUCAAAGGUGUAUGGGCACCUAU
rnacentral:piRNA from 1 species